rnacentral:rRNA from 1 species
AGUAAAUUGGUUAAGUUAGAAAGGGCGCACGGUGGAUGCCUUGGCACUAGGAGCCGAAGAAGGACGGGACUAACACCGAUAUGCUUUGGGGAGCUGUACGUAAGCGUUGAUCCAGAGAUUUCCGAAUGGGGGAACCCACUAUCUUUAGUCGGAUAGUAUCCUUACGUGAAUACAUAGCGUGAGGAAGGCAGACCCAGGGAACUGAAACAUCUAAGUACCUGGAGGAAGAGAAAGAAAAAUCGAUUUCCUGAGUAGCGGCGAGCGAAACGGAAAGAGCCCAAACCAAGAAGCUUGCUUCUUGGGGUUGUAGGACACUCUAUACGGAGUUACAAAAGAAAGUUAUAAAUGAAGCGGUCUGGAAAGGCCCGCCAAAGACGGUAACAGCCCGGUAGUUGAAAUGGCUUUCCCUCCAGAGUGGAUCCUGAGUACGGCGGAACACGUGAAAUUCCGUCGGAAUCCGGGAGGACCAUCUCCCAAGGCUAAAUACUCCCUAGUGACCGAUAGUGAACCAGUACCGUGAGGGAAAGGUGAAAAGCAC